UGCUGCAGGGGGAGGGCAGGGCCUUAGGCGGAGAAGGGGGAGGAGAGGAUUUACCCGGAGGCCGAGGUCCUGCGGCUGAACCGCUGCGCGUCCCACCAGGAGCGCGGAUACAGCCUGAAGGACCAAGCUGUUGAAUUCUAGAAAGAGAUAACUUAAAUGUUUAUGUUUGGCAGCAGAGGAGCAAUCAGCAGCCCGUGCUUUCUCAGCAGUCCUAACUUCUCCUCAGAGAAUCCUUAGCUCUGUAGCUGAUGGACUAAGACAUUGUCACAGUGAUUUUGCCUAGCUUGUGCAAGAU